UCCCUGCCUGGGUGCCCAAACUUUUCUCCCCGGGGCAAAAAGGAACAGAAAUACCUUCUUGAGUAUUGUGCUACUACAACCGACUCAUCUAAGGACAUCUCCCCUUUCCCAAAGAAAGCAUGACUUGGAAUAGCAAGGUAUUUCAGAGAGUUGCUCUCAAAUUCUUCUAUCUCCUUGGUCGGGGACUCCAUAGCUGCAGGUUAUCACUGGCGCUGAAGCUGAGAGAGUUUGGGCUCUCCCCUCCCCGCCUCCUCGCCGGCUCGGCCAGCGAUCCCCAGCCCGGCGCGUCUGCCUGUCACUUUCUCCGCGCGUUCCCCCUCCUGCGCCCCCAGACUCGGACUCAGAGCGCGCUCGGAUGGCGGGCGACCGCGGCCCCAGGUGCGCCCCGGAGACAGCUGCGGGAACCAGCCAUGGGAUUGCGCUCCGGCUCCUAAGAGAAAGCACCUCGGGUCAUCUGGAGAGAGGAAAAGGAAUUGCUGAAAAGAGAGAUGAAUAGUGCUGAAUUCAUAUUUUACCGCAUCAUAGUUUCUCUAAGGACUGGCCUGGUAUAAAAAGAACAAGAGAAUGAGAAAGGAUGAUAU